ACCCAGACUCCUACGGGAGGCAGCAGUGGGGGAUAUUGCACAAUGGGGGCAACCCUGAUGCAGCGACGCCGCGUGAGCGAUGGAGUACUUCGGUAUGUAAAGCUCUGUCAGCAGGGAAGAGAAUGACGGUACCUGACCAAGAAGCCCCGGCUAAAUACGUGCCAGCAGCCGCGGUAAUACGUAUGGGGCAAGCGUUAUCCGGAUUUACUGGGUGUAAAGGGAGCGUAGGCGGCAGAGCAAGCCUGAUGUGAAAGCCCGGGGCUCAACUCCGGGACUGCUUUUGAAACUGUGAAACUGGAGUGCAGGAGAGGUAAGCGGAAUUCCUGGUGUAGCGGUGAAAUGCGUAGAUAUCAGGAGGAACACCAGUGGCGAAGGCGGCUUACUGGACUGUAACUGACGUUGAGGCUCGAAAGCGUGGGGAGCAAACAGGAUUAGAUACCCUCGUA
rnacentral:rRNA from 1 species